CCUCACUCUCGCAACCAAAUGUUAGUCUGCUUGCAUCUUAUAAACAUGGCUCUUUGCCGACUUUGUUGUACUCCCAAACAUACCUUAAUCAAAACUAGCAUUUAAAAAGUUCAGCAGUUCAUUUCUCUUGCUUUCAGCAGCCUUGUCUUCCUUUGUUUUUUCAAGUUUCAGAAGAAUCUUCUUGCCAGAUACAGCACUGCACAGGACAAUGCUGAUGGUGGAAAAGUUGUUUCCCUUAAAUCUGAUGACGAACCAGUUGUAACUGUGGAUCUUGCUAAAAGCUUUCAUCAGAGUGUUAGUGAGAGUUCUGUGAAGGAAGGAGAUAAUCCAGAUGAGAAAGUGUUGGUCCUGUACAUGUAUUCAGAAAAUGGAGGAAGAAUAGUUGAGUACCACACCUUCCAUCAUUCACGUUUCCCCUCAUUCUCCACCACUGCAGUAAACCCCAGAGGUCAGAACAAAGGGGAAUUAGGUUUAACACCCCACCUAUUGGGUUUGGCACCCCACUUUACUAAAAACGGGAAUUAAAAUUCCGAUUUUAAUACGAAAAAAACGGAAAUUAAAAAACCGUUAUGUGUUUUAGCAUAUGUGGCACAUUUUCAAUCGUUCAUUGCAUAUAAAAAAAAAUCGGAAUUUUAAAUUCCGUUUUGAAAACGGAAAUUUAAUUCCCGUAUUAAAUAAAGUGGGGUGCCAAACCCAAUAGGUGGGGUGGCAAACCCAAAUCCCAGAACAAAGCUCCUCCACCGUCCUCACUUUCGGUCGCUCCGCCGCCGUAUCUCCGGUCACCGCUCGCCGUGCAUAUGUGCUCAUCUUUUGUCGAGCUUCAACGAAACAGGUUCACCUUCUUGCUUCCACGCUUGGUUCGUUUUGUGAGAGUUCUGGUUUGAAGAUAAACAUGACUAAAUCAAAAGCCAUCUCCUCCAAGGGUGUCCACCAUAUUGUGCGUGAAGAAAUUCAGCCAUCAGAUCCAACGAUCCAUUCAAACGAAAACAGCCAAAACAACAGAUCGAUCCAUCCACAAUUCAGAAACAAACAACCACACCCAAAAGGGUAAUGGCGAUGUCGGCAUUUGAAUUGAGGACAGAAACAGGAAUACCCAGAAGGCAAAAUCGAAAGGCAAUUGGAAAAGGGCUUCCAUUAGAUUGUACGAGAACGCGUUUUCUGAUCCAAUUGAUGAUGGAGGCUUUCAUCAUGAUGUAGAAGAUGUGAACCGACGAUGACGCAAGAUACAGUGCAUUUUUGUACCUUAAGCUUCACUUCCCCGAUUUCAUCAUCCAUUUCAGAUUCGUGGCUCCAAUGGUGUACCGACAGAUGAGUUUCCUUUAUCCAAUUCUUCACUCAAUUGAUCGUACAAAUAGUUAACCUACUAAUAUUCAAUCAAUGUCCUACGGGUUAUAGAGUAUAGAGUAAUGGCUUUCUUUCAAUCCCACUCCUAUAAAUACUCCUAUGCUUUUGGAGAGUGUGUGUUCUCAUGGUUAAUCUUUACAUUGUUUUAUUGUUUCAGCCAUGGUUCUUCUGGAGGUUGUAUUCAACCACUCAGGUUUUUUGGAAACCUAAUUUCACUGUUUUAUUUAAAUCCAUUGGCUUUUUUGUUUUAUGAAGACCGUUUGUUGUUUGUUUUCCUUGGUAUGAUGUUUUUAAACUCUGUUGAGAGUUGGAUUUUUUGUCAUUUAGUUCUUCUUGACUGAAGAUUAAAUAGAUUUUAUUUUUAGGCUUUAAUUAAUCUAUGGAUUUUUCAUUUUAGGAUGUGAUUGUUACUCCUAUUUAAUCAUGAUAUUAUAAUUAUACACAACUUCUCACUUGCUAUGAACCUAUUCUUCUAUUUGUUUUCUCUGGUGCAGUCACAAGAAAGAGGACAAGUUGUUUGGCAGAGUUCCACAAUUCAAGAGGAAGUAAAAACUUCUAGAGGUGUUGUCAAGGAAGAAACAAUUAAUAACUUGAUUUUGACUUCAUGUUAUCUGAAACCGUAUUUUGAUUUUGAUUUGAAGACCCUUCCUAAAGCUUACAUUUUAAGCUUUAAGAUUCAAUUUGGGUAUCUGAACCUCCAAGGCAAGAAGGAGUGUUGAGAAGUUAAACAUGGUUUUGGAUGAUGUUUAGAGUAGAUUAGUUUGAUUUGAAUAAGUCAAUUAGAAUCUGCCACUAGCUGUUAGUGGACUAGAUCAGUUCUUUGUUGUUUUCGAUUAUAAGUAACAGUCCCUAAAAUGAAGGAGUAUAUUAUCUCUCAUUUAGUAUUUUUUAGAAAUGAGGUAGCAUCUAUAACUAACUAAAGCUAGAGGGUUUUAAGCAUUGUUCAUCAAAAGAAAUCUGCAAGGGCCGGGUCAAGGGUCGGGUCUUGGAGCGGUUUUUCGAUUACCUAUGCAGGAGAACCCGAUACAGCUGCAAAGUAGGGCAGGUAGCCAGGUACGGCCAAUCUCCUCCUGCAGAUUGCAAUCUUCUGCAAUCUUCCCUCUACCGCAUUUGCCCCUCUCCUUGAGCUUGAAUAUCUGAGAUUGGUUGAUGAUGUUUGCUAUAAAAAUUGGAUCGAGUUUCAUACCCUGGCACACUUGGAUCGGAUAAUUCUACUACGCUUCCUGAUCCGUCGCUCCGGCAGCGGUCACUCGGCGCCGGAUGAACGUCUCCGCCGAGACCCUCUUUUCUGACCCCUAAGGUGUUCGACUAUUUCUCCAAACCAACCGUCCGCGUCGAAAACCAAGCAGGUGCAGAAGCUCACUGGGUCCAAGAAUGUGAGGAUUAAGACCCAGCUUGACCCGAGUUUAGUGGCUAUAAGAAUUGAAUCCGGAGAAAGAGAAAUAGUAGCUGAUUCUUCAUCAAAGGAAAAUAAAGCAUAAGAUGAAAAAAGGAAUGAUUUUAUGCCAGUUUGGUGUAGUUGGAAAGCAACAUGCUCACAGGAGAGAUGCCUCCAAGACUUGGCAAGCAGCUAGGACCAGAAUUAUUGUUUGGAAGAAACCAUUCUGUUCAAUUUAAUUGGUUGGAACUUUACAUAGGUUCUUGAAGGAUCACCCAGAGUUCCUCUUUCACGAUUCUCAUUACAAUACCAAAGUGAAUAGCUGUAUGAAAUGAAUAUUUUAAAUACGAACAGUAUUGAAUUUUCGUCACCUUCUCUGGCAGGUACAAUAAGCUAUGCAACUUUAUGAGGAGAUGAAACAUUUGUUGUGGAUCCUCCAAUUACCCUCUGGAUUUUGAAAUGGAUGCUUGACUGAGAUCUAUGUUUUGAGAGCUCCCAAUCACAACACCACUUGAAUGAGCUGUCUGUGAAUUGAAGGAGAAGAAGAAAUUAGCAUCAGCAAGAAGUAGCAUGUUGAAUUGAAGGAGAUGGAACUAGCAUCACAAGAAGGAAUUGAAGGAGGAUUAGAAAUUAGUAUCAGCAAGAAGUAGCAUGUGGAAUUGAAGGAGAUGGAAGUAGCAUCACAAGAAGUAAUUGAGCAGUUUUCGUUUGAGAGAGAAUGGAAAAAAUGAAGAAAUGUGAGCCAAGUAUAUAUUUGUACUCAUUUAUCUUUAUGUAAAAAACACAAUUAAUUGAUCAUUUUUCCCUUUAUUUUGUAUUAAAAUCCCAUUAUCUGUACUUUGGAGCAUUUUUUUUCCAGCUCCCACAAACGGUUGCUUGAUUUUAAAUAAAAAUGUAUGCUUCAUGAAA